UGGGGGGACCAUCCUCCAAGGCUAAAUACUCCUUAUCGACCGAUAGUGAACCAGUACCGUGAGGGAAAGGCGAAAAGAACCCCGUUGAGGGGAGUGAAAUAGAACCUGAAACCGUGUGCGUACAAGCAGUAGGAGCAGACUUGUUCUGUGACUGCGUACCUUUUGUAUAAUGGGUCAGCGACUUAAUUUAUGUAGCGAGCUUAACCGAAUAGGGGAGGCGAAGGGAAACCGAGUCUUAAUAGGGCGACUAGUUGCAUGGAUUAGACCCGAAACCUGGCGAUCUAUCCAUGGUCAGGGUGAAGGUGAGGUAACACUUACUGGAGGCCCGAACUCACGUAUGUUGAAAAAUGCGGAGAUGAACUGUGGAUCGGAGUGAAAGGCUAAUCAAGCCAGGAGAUAGCUGGUUCUCCUCGAAAGCUAUUUAGGUAGCGCCUCGUAUCUCACUCUCGGGGGUAGAGCACUGUUUGGGCUAGGGGGUCAUCCCGACUUACCAAACCCAUGCAAACUCCGAAUACCGAGAAGUGCAAUUACGGGAGACACACGGCGGGUGAUAACGUCCGUCGUGGAAAGGGAAACAACCCAGACCAUCAGCUAAGGUCCCAAAAUUAUGGCUCAGUGGAAAACGAUGUGGGAAGGCCUAGACAGCUAGGAGGUUGGCUUAGAAGCAGCCACCCUUUAAAGAAAGCGUAAUAGCUCACUAGUCGAGU
rnacentral:rRNA from 1 species